UCCAGUGUGGUGUAGUGGUUUGGCCACUGGACUGCAACUCUGGAGAACAAGGUUUGAAUCCUUGCUCAGUGA